rnacentral:rRNA from 1 species
AGGCGCGAAACCUUUACACUGCACGCCAGUGCGAUAAGGGGAUCCCAAGUGCGCAGGCAUAGAGCCUGCGCUUUUGUGCACCGUAAGGAGGUGCAGGAAUAAGGGCUGGGCAAGACCGGUGCCAGCCGCCGCGGUAAUACCGGCAGCCCGAGUGAUGGCCGAUCUUAUUGGGCCUAAAGCGUCCGUAGCUGGCCGCGCAAGUCCAUCGGGAAAUCCACCCGCUCAACGGGUGGGCGUCCGGUGGAAACUGCGCGGCUUGGGACCGGAAGGCGCGACGGGUACGUCCGGGGUAGGAGUGAAAUCCCGUAAUCCUGGACGGACCGCCGAUGGCGAAAGCACGUCGCGAGAACGGAUCCGACAGUGAGGGACGAAAGCUAGGGUCUCGAACCGGAUUAGAUACCCGGGUAGUCCUAGCCGUAAACAAUGCCUGCUAGGUGUGGCUCCCACUACGAGUGGGUGCUGUGCCGUAGGAAGCCGCUAAGCAGUCCGCAU